GAUUAAGUUAUUAAGGGCGCACGGUGGAUGCCUUGGCACUAGAAGCCGAUGAAGGACGUUACUAACGACGAUAUGCUUUGGGGAGCUGUAAGUAAGCUUUGAUCCAGAGAUUUCCGAAUGGGGAAACCCAGCAUGAGUUAUGUCAUGUUAUCGAUAUGUGAAUACAUAGCAUAUCAGAAGGCACACCCGGAGAACUGAAACAUCUUAGUACCCGGAGGAAGAGAAAGAAAAUUCGAUUCCCUUAGUAGCGGCGAGCGAAACGGGAAGAGCCCAAACCAACAAGCUUGCUUGUUGGGGUUGUAGGACACUCUAUACGGAGUUACAAAGGACGACAUUAGACGAAUCAUCUGGAAAGAUGAAUCAAAGAAGGUAAUAAUCCUGUAGUCGAAAAUGUUGUCUCUCUUGAGUGGAUCCUGAGUACGACGGAGCACGUGAAAUUCCGUCGGAAUCUGGGAGGACCAUCUCCUAAGGCUAAAUACUCUCUAGUGACCGAUAGUGAACCAGUACCGUGAGGGAAAGGUGAAAAGCACCCCGGAAGGGGAGUGAAAUAGAACCUGAAACCGUGUGCUUACAAGUAGUCAGAGCCCGUUAAUGGGUGAUGGCGUGCCUUUUGUAGAAUGAACCGGCGAGUUACGAUUUGAUGCAAGGUUAAGCAGUAAAUGUGGAGCCGUAGCGAAAGCGAGUCUGAAUAGGGCGUUUAGUAUUUGGUCGUAGACCCGAAACCAGGUGAUCUACCCUUGGUCAGGUUGAAGUUCAGGUAACACUGAAUGGAGGACCGAACCGACUUACGUUGAAAAGUGAGCGGAUGAACUGAGGGUAGCGGAGAAAUUCCAAUCGAACCUGGAGAUAGCUGGUUCUCUCCGAAAUAGCUUUAGGGCUAGCCUCAAGUGAUGAUUAUUGGAGGUAGAGCACUGUUUGGACGAGGGGCCCCUCUCGGGUUACCGAAUUCAGACAAACUCCGAAUGCCAAUUAAUUUAACUUGGGAGUCAGAACAUGGGUGAUAAGGUCCGUGUUCGAAAGGGAAACAGCCCAGACCACCAGCUAAGGUCCCAAAAUAUAUGUUAAGUGGAAAAGGAUGUGGCGUUGCCCAGACAACUAGGAUGUUGGCUUAGAAGCAGCCAUCAUUUAAAGAGUGCGUAAUAGCUCACUAGUCGAGUGACACUGCGCCGAAAAUGUACCGGGGCUAAACAUAUUACCGAAGCUGUGGAUUGUCCUUUGGACAAUGGUAGGAGAGCGUUCUAAGGGCGUUGAAGCAUGAUCGUAAGGACAUGUGGAGCGCUUAGAAGUGAGAAUGCCGGUGUGAGUAGCGAAAGACGGGUGAGAAUCCCGUCCACCGAUUGACUAAGGUUUCCAGAGGAAGGCUCGUCCGCUCUGGGUUAGUCGGGUCCUAAGCUGAGGCCGACAGGCGUAGGCGAUGGAUAACAGGUUGAUAUUCCUGUACCACCUAUAAUCGUUUUAAUCGAUGGGGGGACGCAGUAGGAUAGGCGAAGCGUGCGAUUGGAUUGCACGUCUAAGCAGUAAGGCUGAGUAUUAGGCAAAUCCGGUACUCGUUAAGGCUGAGCUGUGAUGGGGAGAAGACAUUGUGUCUUCGAGUCGUUGAUUUCACACUGCCGAGAAAAGCCUCUAGAUAGAAAAUAGGUGCCCGUACCGCAAACCGACACAGGUAGUCAAGAUGAGAAUUCUAAGGUGAGCGAGCGAACUCUCGUUAAGGAACUCGGCAAAAUGACCCCGUAACUUCGGGAGAAGGGGUGCUCUUUAGGGUUAACGCCCAGAAGAGCCGCAGUGAAUAGGCCCAAGCGACUGUUUAUCAAAAACACAGGUCUCUGCUAAACCGUAAGGUGAUGUAUAGGGGCUGACGCCUGCCCGGUGCUGGAAGGUUAAGAGGAGUGGUUAGCUUCUGCGAAGCUACGAAUCGAAGCCCCAGUAAACGGCGGCCGUAACUAUAACGGUCCUAAGGUAGCGAAAUUCCUUGUCGGGUAAGUUCCGACCCGCACGAAAGGCGUAACGAUUUGGGCACUGUCUCAACGAGAGACUCGGUGAAAUCAUAGUACCUGUGAAGAUGCAGGUUACCCGCGACAGGACGGAAAGACCCCGUGGAGCUUUACUGUAGCCUGAUAUUGAAAUUCGGCACAGCUUGUACAGGAUAGGUAGGAGCCUUUGAAACGUGAGCGCUAGCUUACGUGGAGGCGCUGGUGGGAUACUACCCUAGCUGUGUUGGCUUUCUAACCCGCACCACUUAUCGUGGUGGGAGACAGUGUCAAGCGGGCAGUUUGACUGGGGCGGUCGCCUCCUAAAAGGUAACGGAGGCGCUCAAAGGUUCCCUCAGAAUGGUUGGAAAUCAUUCAUAGAGUGUAAAGGCAUAAGGGAGCUUGACUGCGAGACCUACAAGUCGAGCAGGGUCGAAAGACGGACUUAGUGAUCCGGUGGUUCCGCAUGGAAGGGCCAUCGCUCAACGGAUAAAAGCUACCCCGGGGAUAACAGGCUUAUCUCCCCCAAGAGUUCACAUCGACGGGGAGGUUUGGCACCUCGAUGUCGGCUCAUCGCAUCCUGGGGCUGUAGUCGGUCCCAAGGGUUGGGCUGUUCGCCCAUUAAAGCGGUACGCGAGCUGGGUUCAGAACGUCGUGAGACAGUUCGGUCCCUAUCCGUCGUGGGCGUAGGAAAUUUGAGAGGAGCUGUCCUUAGUACGAGAGGACCGGGAUGGACAUACCUCUGGUGUACCAGUUGUCGUGCCAACGGCAUAGCUGGGUAGCUAUG
rnacentral:rRNA from 1 species